UGCGAGGGAUGAGUCUGGCCAGGAACAUGAGGGAUUCCCAGUGUGGAGCCUCUUUACUGGUGACCCCACACACAUAGCUAUAGGACCGACAGUCUCCCUACACACACACACAGAGAGAGAACAGGUUAGCAGCCUCUUUACUGGUGACCCCACACACAUAGCUAUAGGACCGACAGUCUCCCUACACACACACACACAGAGAGACAGAGAGAGAACAGGUUAGCAGCCUCUUUACUGGUGACCCCACACACAUAGCUAUAGGACCGACAGUCUCCCUACACACACACACACAGAGAGAGAGAGAGAGAGCAGGUUAGCAGCCUCUUUACUGGUGACCCCACACACAUACCUAUAGGACUGACAGUCACCCAACACACACACACAGAGAGAGAGAGCAGGUUAGGAGCCUCUUUACUGGUGACCCCACACACACAUAGCUAUAGGACCGACAGUCACCCUACACACACACAGACAGACAGAGAGAACACACGCUAAAGCUUACGCUAUGAUCACUUAUAUAAGCUGUAGAGGUUCACUUGACCAACACUUCAGUAUUGUGAUGAUUAGUUAAUCAAAAGUGAUCUAUCGGGUCCAUCCUUCACAUUUAGACUUCACUAUGAGACUCUGGGGUUAUUUGAGGCCUUUCUCUUCUCCCUCUGCUCCCAGACAAACUCCACAGAGAACAAUAAGCCCCUCUCUGUUAAUACACUCCUGUCUCUCUCCUGGUCCACUUACCAAAACACAGUCACACUUUCUGAGGUAAAAAUAGCGCUCCGUCUCUCCUGCCUCCCUUAUCCAACACACAUUCACUGUUUCUGGGAUAAAUAUAUCCCUCAGUGGCUUUCAGCAGGAAGGGUGGAGGAGACAUCCACCACUGAAUGGGCGGAGCCAGCUGUGUCAUCAUUCCAUUACCAUGCACUUGUCAACAGACAGACAUUGUUGAACCACAGCCUGAAGGACAUUAACAGACAGAGCAGUAAAAUCUCCAAAAUACCCGUUGACAGACAUUGCCCAUGAACCAUAGAUCUAGGAUCAGAUUACCCCCUCCCCAAAACUAACCUUUAGCUGGAUAAACAAAUAUAUCUGACCCGGUAUCAGCGAUUAUGGGAAGAGGUCUACCAACUCAGCCCUGGCAGUAGCAGUGCCAUCCUGUUAUAGUGAGAGAGGGAGAUGGCUGC